rnacentral:rRNA from 1 species
UGGGGAAUAUUGGACAAUGGACCGAGAGUCUGAUCCAGCAAUUCUGUGUGCACGAUGAAGUUUUUCGGAAUGUAAAGUGCUUUCAGUUGGGAAGAAAGAAAUGACGGUACCAACAGAAGAAGUGACGGCUAAAUACGUGCCAGCAGCCGCGGUAAUACGUAUGUCACGAGCGUUAUCCGGAUUUAUUGGGCGUAAAGCGCGUCUAGGUGGUUAUGUAAGUCUGAUGUGAAAAUGCAGGGCUCAACUCUGUAUUGCGUUGGAAACUGUAUAACUAGAGUACUGGCGAGGUAAGCGGAACUACAAGUGUAGAGGUGAAAUUCGUAGAUAUUUGUAGGAAUGCCGAUGGGGAAGCCAGCUUACUGGACAGAUACUGACGCUAAAGCGCGAAAGCGUGGGUAGCAAACAGG